rnacentral:rRNA from 1 species
UACGUAGGGUGCAAGCGUUGUCCGGAAUUAUUGGGCGUAAAGAGCUCGUAGGCGGUUCGUCGCGUCGGCUGUGAAAACCCGGAGCUCAACUCCGGGCCUGCAGUCGAUACGGGCGGACUGGAGUGUUGCAGGGGAGACUGGAAUUCCUGGUGUAGCGGUGAAAUGCGCAGAUAUCAGGAGGAACACCGGUGGCGAAGGCGGGUCUCUGGGCAACUACUGACGCUGAGGCGCGAAAGCUAGGGGAGCGAACGGG